CAAGCAAGACAUAUUGUUUUCAAUGUUGAUCAAAGAAUACUUGAUCAACAAGAUGCAGAACAUACACAAUCAUCGAUAUUGAGCCAUGUGCAAGCGUUGACUGGGGUUUCUUAUACUACAAAUAAACUUGGAUAGUUUUGAUUUAGAAUUGAUCAGAAACAAGAUAAAUGAGUUUUACACUGUUUCUUUCUUUCAAAUAGGGAUCGAUAAAUAGCGAAAAUCUUGUGAACAUAAUUGAAAAUCAGUUCAUAGAACAAGAUCGGUUAAUUGAGAUGCAGGAGGAAAGGUUUAUUAUAAAUACUGCGUUGAAGACUUUUUUUUAUGGAUGUGCAGUAUUUGGAACCAUUUUCAAGUUCUUAAUUAAUUAAUAAACUCAUGAACAGAGUAAUUGGAGUUUUCAUCUAAAUUUCAAACCCCACAUUCGCCACAUUUUCAAAAAUUAUCAUUGGAUAAAUUUUUAUAUAUUUUGCAUGUAUCACACACAGAAUCAGC